UUUUCCUUCAUUAGAUUGAUGUUCAGUUGUGUAUCUAAUUCUAUUUAAAUUAGAUCUUGCAAUGAUGGAUAUAAUAUGUUUUCUUUUUUAUUGGAUGUUGGAUAUAAAACUUCUGUAGCUCCUAAGAAGUUUUAAAUGGUAGGUGAUCAUUCUGCACUACUUACUGGAUAUAAUACGUAUGGUUCACUUGAGUUUUGAAUCUAUCUCAUUUUUUUAGGUCAUGUCCUAAAAUGAUUUGGCAAAGAAAAUGGACGGGGUGAAUUUCUCAUCAACAUUACAACGGCCCCACCUAGCUCUCAUGGCAAGAAGUUCAUGGGAAAGAUUUCCGAAGAAAAGUCUGGUGGGUUUGUCACUUGUGAGAGCCACUGAGAUUGCCCUGCAAAUCUUUGGCAUCAAUUGAUCCCAACUUUAAAUUUCUAUAAGAAUUGCAACUUCUAAUUAGGAAAUUAGAGUUUCUAAAACAGUCCUUAAGAGCUCUUCUAUUUCAAAACACCGAUGCCAUUGAGGUUUGUAGUUGUUCACUAACACCCACACCGUUGACACAUGGUCACGAAUUAAAGUUUUCGUGUAUAGUUUUUCUAACAGUAUGUUGCUGUGUUUGCAUUGUCUACUUUGUGUAGUGUGACUUGCAUCCUAAUAUGGCCACGUAUAAUUAGAAUCCUUCCUAUCCUCAGUGCAAGCAUCUGUUUCAGUUUCUCAGUGUUCAUCGAUCACCAGAUGGAAGGGAUUUUCUUCAUCAUUGGCAUGGUGCUAAAUGCAGCUGCCCAGAACCUUUCCAUGCUCAUUAUAGGAAGGAUCUUCCUGGGGUAUGGAGUCGGCAUUAAUCAGGUUCAGCUGCACAAUAUCCGUUCCUCGGUAGUUCAGCUAAUUUGAAUCUGUAAAAACUAGUUGCUGGAAAUAGCAGUUAUGUUGAUGUUGAAUUCAUCGAUCCUGUGAUUAUGGCCGUUAGCAGAGGGAAGCUUCCACUGCCGAUGACGCACCAGAUCUCUCCCGACUACAACUUCAACAUGUUGGCUAAUUUCUCUGAGAUGGACCAGAGGCUUUAGUUGUUGCAGUCAAGAUCUAGUAAUCUGAAUUAGAAUCCAUUGAUGACAGUUGAUCAAAGCUUUAGUUGUUGAAUUCUUUUUUUUUUUACCCCAGAUUUCUAUUCCAAAUAGAAACUAAAAUUUCAAUUUGAAAAGUGGGUGUGAUUCUCAUAUUUUUCUCCAUGAGUUGUUACCUUAUGAGAACAAAAAUGCAAGCCAUUUGAUCAAUGGCCACUGAAUAUGCAUAGGUUUAUGAAUGUGUUAAAAUAAAUGAUUUAGCCUCGAUUAUUGAUAAAUGAUGUUAGAAAUUGA